GUCUGCAACUUUACUUCUAAUGAGCUCACUGCAAGAAUACUAUAAUUGCUGAAAAUUUUGGCUUUUAAAGCUUUAAAGGGAGUGUUGCCGCACUUUUUACUGCUUAACAACAAAGGAAUCUUAAUGUAUACCUCAGCCAUGGAUUGAGGUACUUCACAGCACUCUGCUGAUGUCAAUGAUGCUCAGGCAAGGACAAAUAAGUAAGAAAAACAGAGCCAUACAAGUAAUACUUAGAAGUUAAGCG